GGAGAAAGUGGCGGACUGAAAGUGCUUUGAGGGCCCGCGGUGAACGGCGGCGGGUGGCCCGGACGUCGUGAAUGGCAGCUCAGUGUUGGUGUUGAUGCUGACUUGUCAACAACGCCAUCAUUCUCACUUGUAAUGGAGUCAUCUGUUACACAUCUGAACUAACAUGGAUGGAGGUGCAUAGAGGAUUUCCGUGCCGCUUACAAGAGGUUGUCGUGAGUGAAGCAUAAUGAUAACGCUUGAAGAAGAGGCUCAGUGUGUGGAAUGGUUCACUCAGAUCAAAUCGGACAAAUAGAUUCAA